rnacentral:rRNA from 1 species
CACGUAGGGCGCAAGCGUUGUCCGGAAUUAUUGGGCGUAAAGAGCUCGUAGGUGGUUUGCUGCGUCCGCUGUGAAAACCCAAGGCUUAACCUUGGGCUUGCAGUGGAUACGGGCAGACUAGAGGUAGGUAGGGGAGAAUGGAAUUCCCGGUGUAGCGGUGAAAUGCGCAGAUAUCGGGAGGAACACCGGUGGCGAAGGCGGUUCUCUGGACCAUAACUGACGCUGAUGCGCGAAAGCUAGGGGAGCAAACAGG